rnacentral:misc_RNA from 1 species
UAAACGCGAAUUGUCGGGUGUCCACCACCCCUUCUGGGGGUGGAGAUCUGCGCCCCGACGUCCUUUUGAUUAUAUCCCAUCUGUGAACUUUUCCACUGUUGCUUCCGUGAGCCUGUGCUUUGCUCUCUUUUUUGAGAGUGGGAGUACCUGAAAAGCCCUGGUUCUGCCAGGGGCGCACGGCAAUGGUACCACAACUCUGGUUUUAUGUUGUUCAAGUCUGAGUGGUUAACACACAAACAAGUUAAAACUUUCAACAACGGAUCUCUUGGUUCU